rnacentral:lncRNA from 1 species
CCUAUUUGGAGUGUUUGAUUGCUAUUUUUUUCCAUGGAAAAUAUUUUCCAACUUUUGAAAAUAUACCUAAUUUUCUUUUUUUUUAAGGAAAAUAUUUUCUUUGAGUAGAUGUGGUUUUUAUUUUCCACAAAAGAUGGAAAAUAUUUUCUUUUCUAAGUGAUAUUUUCCAAGUCAAUCAAACACAUUCUUAAAUAUUUAUUUUAUUUUUAUACUUAUGUGAACUUAAUUCUUG